rnacentral:lncRNA from 1 species
GCAAAUAUGUAAUGGUAAUUGGAUUUAGCACAGUACGCUUGAAUGUGUGUGGGAUCAAACCAAGGAACAUUCUUUUCACACUUAAUCACGAAGUUAUGUAAGGAAGCAGGAGUCCCUAUAGAGCCAAUGGAAAAAUAGAUGAGCCCUGCAAAGAAAUUACUAGGGGAUAGGAUAUAUAAGCAAUUUGUCAUUCUCCACAAAAAAA